rnacentral:rRNA from 1 species
UACAGAGGCCUCGAGCGUUGUUCGGAAUUACUGGGCGUAAAGGGAAUGUAGGUGGUGUCGUAAGUCAGAUGUGAAAGCCCCGGGCUUAACCCGGGAAGUGCAUUUGAUACUGUGGCGCUAGAGUGCGUGAGAGGAAAGCGGAAUUUCCAGUGUAGGGGUGAAAUCCGUAGAUAUUGGAAGGAAUACCGAUGGCGAAGGCAGCUUUCUGGCACGUAACUGACACUGAGAUUCGAAAGCAUGGGUAGCAAACAGG